UUAAGGAAUCUAUUAAUAACAUUUACAUUUUACUUAUUGUAGACGAGAUUAUAAAUUGCGCACACAUUCGUUUAUAUCGUAUAAGUUGCAAAUGCAGAUGAUAAAAAAAUGGAUUCAGAAUUAAUAUACUGGUUUAUCAAAUAAAUGUAGUAUGAAAAUUAAUUAAACACUCCUGAUUGGUGAUCAAGGGUAGUUCAAAUAAAACGGUGCAUUGUUGUAAUAAAGAAGAGAUCAUAUGUGCCGGUAUUCGAGGGGUGUUCCAGAAAUUCGUGGAUUUUCGCUAUAACUUAUGAGUUUGCUGGUAAAAGUCAAUGAAAUUUACAUAUUAUACAAACCAAUUAUCACGGACUUUAUAUAUAAGCUAAAAAUGCAUGAAUUCCAUAAAGCGCGUUUGAAACGCGUUGCCAUAGAGACCUCAGUAACGACAUGCGGCGCAGGCGUGUAUUUUAUUAUAAAUAUGAGCGUUACGCGAAUUUAAAUUUGGCUUAAAUGUCGUUGAUAAACAGAAUUUACGGCAAAUUUCACGUUACAGCGCCUAAGUCCUCCUUACAGCCCGGAUUUGGCCCCUAUGGACUUCCGCGUCUUCCCGGAAGUUAAAUCACAGUUGCGCGGUAUUCGCUUUGCAAGUAAACAGGAACUUACAGUUGCAGCAAAGCGAAUCGUGCUGUCUUUUGACGCUGACUGGUAAAGAGACACUUUUGACAAGUGGAUUUCCCGACACAUAAAGUGCAUUCGCGUUGGAGAUAAUAAUGUGGAAAAGAUUUGACAGUUGUUAACUUCAUAACGUCAUUUACGUUGAACAGAAACGUUACACGUGCGUCGGUGUGCGCAUUGUGCACAUGUUUAAAUCUCUGAUAUAUAUUUAUUGUUUUAUGUAUUUCCAUGAUAUUUGGAGAGUAGAUUUGGAAAGGACGAAAUAUUCUUAACAUGCUAUUUGUUUGUCCAUUUAUGUUACCAAAUGAAAGUUAUAGCGAAAAUCCACGAACUUCUGGAACACCCCUUGUAUAUUAGGUUUGUAACAAUAAAAAAAAUCACUAAAUUGAAAGAACUGGUAUAACAAAUACAUAUCUACAUUAUAAGGGUGCAGGAUCACGUGACUCUGUUGGUUCACAAUUUAAUGUUAAUGGAUGUAGACACACCAAACACUCUCCUAAGGAUGUCAAAAGCCGACAAUCUUCGCGUGACCUUCGCCGAUCAUGCACCACGGGACCAAAAGGGAAAUCUCGUGGGCCCAGCAGAGCAAGUGUUGGCCUGUGGUCAAAGACAAAUUCUCUUGUGCAGGUUAAUAGAGAGGAUAUUAAACUAAUGGCGACCGUGGUAACAUCGGGUGUUGCGGUCAACUAACCAUUAUCAAUGACAUCACUCCGAACCAUGAAAUAAACCCAUUUAUGCCUAGUUGACUCUCCCAUCCUUCUAAAUUGGAUCAAUUUAUUUCCAAAAUUAGGGAUGUCAAGUAUAUUUAUUUCUAUAUUUAGAAUAUUUCGUAAAGAAAUUCCUUUUA